rnacentral:rRNA from 1 species
AGAGUUUGAUCCUGGCUCAGGACGAACGCUGGCGGCGUGCUUAACACAUGCAAGUCGAGCGGAAAGGCCCUUCGGGGUACUCGAGCGGCGAACGGGUGAGUAACACGUGAGCAACCUGCCCUUAGCUUCGGGAUAGCUCCGGGAAACCGGAAUUAAUACCGAAUAUGACCACGUCCGACAUCAGACGUGGUGGAAAGUUU